GGGGGAUAGGCUUCGCCGUCGGAAGGGAAACAGCCCAGACCGUCGUCUAAGGUCCCGAGGCGUGUGCUAAGUGGGAAAGGAUGUGGAGUCGCAUAGACAGCCAGGAGGUUGGCUCAGAAGCAGCCGCCCUUGAAAGAGUGCGUAACAGCUCACUGGUCUAGUGGUUCCGCGCCGACAAUGUAGCGGGGCUCAAGCACACCGCCGAAGACGCGGCAGUAUUUUGUAC
rnacentral:rRNA from 1 species